GGGGUUGUGGCUCAGUGGUAGAUUACUCACCUAGCAUUUGGGAGGUACUGACUUCGAUCCUCAGCACCACA
rnacentral:tRNA from 1 species